GCCUUUUGCACACGGCCCUUCUGUUCCAAUGAAGCUACUGUAUAAAAGAGCCAGUCCCUCGCUUACUGUACCAAUCAAAGCGUAGACUAAACUAAAGACUGAAAUAUCAGCUUCCCUGGAAAAGAAGAGCAUCAACUGAAGGAAUGGAUCGUUGCGAGUGUGUCAAGACUGGAAGCUGCAAGUGUGGGGGAUCCUGCACCUGCUCACACUGCAUCUGUACCAAGUGCAAGAAAAACUGACUGGUCUGGGCUGUCCUGGGAACACCUUGGGGUCAUCCUGGAAGAGCUGGAGGAAGUGUCCAGGGAGAGGGAUGUCUGGAGCUGUCUGCUUAGACUGCUGCCCCCGGGACCCGGCCCCAGAUAAGCGGUCAAAGAUGGAUGGAUGGAUGGAUGUACAUUAACUGAACUGAAAGUCUGACUAGCAGCCACCGGAUGUUCUUCAGUUAUAUUUGUAUUUGCCAGCAUGUAGUAGAAGACCACAAACAUUUUAUUCAGGGGAGUAGCAGCUUUAUCACAUUUUGUUGACCACCAGACCUAAAAUCGCUUUUGAUACAGGAAAUGUUGUAGAAAAUGAAAUCUACGCUUAUUCAAUCAAUAAAUAAAACCAGCCACAAAACUAUAAAACAGAGCUGAUUAACAAAAUUCUCAACAACUUUUAUAGAGUUCAUCCCUUUUUAUGUGAAACAGAAAACAAAGUAAGCAAAGAACAUGAGAGUUUAUGAAUUGGUCAUCUGGCUUUGGUUUUACCUUCAUACCAUCUACUGUCAUGUCCAUGUGAUGUCAAAGGGGCAAAAAAAAGAAAGGGGAAAGAGGUGUUGUCUUUAAUGCAGCCCAUAAAGACUGCAGUCGGGUGGUGGUCAGUGAAAACAAGCAACACCUCAAAUACCCAGCAGAAUCAUCAACACCUCUGCCUAGGUCAAUAAAGAUUAUCAAUAAAAAUCAUUUUAGACAUUCACAGAUGUGGGCUGUGUACAUGGACAUGUACUUCAUCUCUACAGAAUUUUAGCAAAUAAUACAGUAUUCUUACAUUAAUCUGUUUAAUACUGGACUUCCACUGUGCGAAUGGGUAAUACACAGCAUGUACCUGCACCUUUUGGAGAUUCAUUUCACAGUUUCAUUUCAAUAAAAUCACUACAUUAACACA